rnacentral:rRNA from 1 species
GCUAAUACCGGAUAACAACAGAUGAUGCCUAUCAACUGUUUAAAAGAAUGGUUCUGCUAUCACUCUUGGAUGGACCUGCGGUGCAUUAGCUAGUUGGUAGGGUAACGGCCUACCAAGGCGAUGAUGCAUAGCCGAGUUGAGAGACUGAUCGGCCACAUUGGGACUGAGACACGGCCCAAACUCCUACGGGAGGCAGCAGUG